CCCUUAGACGUUCUGGGCCGCACGCGCGCUACACUGACCAGUGCAACAAGCAUCCGUCCUUGGCCGACAGGCUCGGGCAAUCUUUGAACGCUGGUCGUGAUGGGGAUAGACUUUUGCAAUUUUUGGUCUUCAACGAGGAAUGCCUAGUAAGCGCAAGUCAUCAGCUUGCGUUGAUUACGUCCCUGCCCUUUGUACACACCGCCCGUCGCUCCUACCGAUUGAAUGGUCCGGUGAAGCGUUCGGACCGUGGCCUUUGGACGGUUCGCCGUCUGUUGGCUGCGGGAAGUUCGUUAAACCUUAUCAUUUAGAGGAAGGAGAAGUCGUAACA
rnacentral:rRNA from 1 species